GGGGCUGUAGCUCAGUUGGCUAGAGCGACACGUUCGCAUCGUGUAGGCCGUGGGUUCGACUCCCAUCAGCUCCACCA
rnacentral:tRNA from 1 species